ACAGCGUGAUGACUACAUUAUGGGAAACUGAGCAGCCCACGGGUGGGAGAAGACUGCACCACUUCUCCUUCCUCACCCCUCCCAAUACCUUCUGUUUGGCUCGACCUUGCGAUGAAGGCUCAAGUUGGUUCUUCAUACAUCUGACCUCAUAUAUUCACCUCCAUUUAUCAGCCUGUGUCCGAGGACAGCAAACAACUUUCACAGACCUCUGCUCUAGAUCCAGUUAUCAGUGUAUCAGCAAGGAGGUGUACAGAGCAAACUGCUCAGCCCUGCCUGAUGGCCAGUCCCAGAACCCUUCAGAGAAAGAAGCUGCUGCUGGGGUGACCAUCAAUGUGUGAUUAGGACAGAGGCACAUAUGGAAAGGAAGAAUCUUGGAGCCUCUCACUUGAAGAACAGCUUGCACAUCACUUGGGAGUUGUCCAGCUUGUGGCCAGGACCCUGGAGCUCAUGAGUUCUUGGUGGAAAGCACAGAUGAGAGACUGUGCCCUGCUGUGUUGCCUCAGCUAUAAUUUCCAAGUGGCCUGAAGGUACAGUUCCACGUAGCUGUAAUUUGAUCUCAGGGUGACAAACUAAGAUCAAUAAACACACGAAGGUCCCUAGCAGGAGACAAGGAUGAAACCUGCCUGCCAAACACAGAGUACAAAGAGCUUGGCAAGUCUCUUAAGUUCAUUAUAUUUAGUAACUCACUUAAUAUGUUGGAUUUGCUGUGCAUGGUGCAAACAAGGAUUUUGAACUACUGAGAAUACCUUUCAUAACAAUCACCUAGUGCUUUCAAGGGCAUGGUGCUGAGGGAUCAAACUAAUAUAGCCCAGGGUUUCCUGCCACACACCAUAAAGACAUAAAUGGAAAAAGCCAAAUAAAUGUCUUAAUAUGCUCCCAGAAAGUUGCAUGAGUAUCCAGAAGAAUGAAUUUGUCUAUUGUUUCUCCAUGUAUAAAUCUUUCAGAACGAUAAUCCUUAGCAAAAUAGCUAGCAUAUGAGUAAUUUUUUCUUUUUUUUUUUUAAGUUGUCUUUAGUAGAAGCUUUUUGUACUAUGAAGGAUCCAAAAGAGAGUAAUCUGUUGAAAAGUUUUUAGUUCUGCCACUUAAAAAUAACCAAAUGGGGUUUUAAUUUUUUGAAUAUCCUUCUGCCCUGAGAAAAAAAUGCUCUGCUUCUGCUUACUACACAGUUUUAAGCCCAAGAUUCCCUGGCAGACCUGCCUACCCAGCACAGCUGUGAUUAGAUUGGUUCCAACGUUGAACUGACUCUUUGGCUCCAUCUGCAUCUGUAAUGACUGAUGGAGUUGAUACUGCCUUUCCACUUACAGAGUGACAAAAGGGAAAGUGGCUUAGAGGACACUGCUGCCUCGUUUAGAAGCAACAGUUGGUUUGGAGCCUGAUGUACUGUCAUGGAGCUGGUCACUGGCAGCUCUGGUUUUGCUUGAGAAAAGAGAAACCACUGAGAUGAGCCACGUAGGCUAGGGAAGGUCUGGUUCAAACAACCAGCUGUAGCAAACAGGAGCUCCAGCAGAAAGAGGUAAGGGACUAUCUGAGGUGGCAAGAUUCAAGGAAAGGGAGGAUACAGAAGUUCAAGGUGUGUUCAUAUCUGAAACUUAUGUAAAGGACUGAUAAACUUACGGUCUUGCCACAUUGGGACAUUGUGUCUUUUCCAAAAUCACUUCAGAUAGAACAAAAUAUUUCUGUCAGGUGAUUACGUAAGAAUCUCGGCCUCAAAUCAAUGACAGAGUAAAUACAGUCCUAUCUGAUGCUUGAGGAUAUUUGAGAGGGGUGGAGGGAUGUUUUCCUUUCAUGUGAGCUCAUGGCUGUUUAUUUUCUAUUAAUACAAGUCACUACCCAGCUGUCAGUUAAAAGCAAAAGCUCUGACAUCCCAUUGCAUUGUUUACUUUUAAUAUGUCCUGCUAGAUAAAUAACUGCACUGGACUGAGCAUGAACGCUCUGUGAUACUUAACCCUUUCUGUUAGAGGUCUCCUAAUUAACGUGGAACAAUCAAAUGCUCCUAAUGACAGAGAGAGCAAGAGAGAGUCCACUUUGGGCAUCCAGCGGAUGAAGCAGAAAGUGCAGCAAUCCAGCUGCUGCAUGAAUGGAUAUUGCAUUACUUUGUACAAAAUAUUUGCAGGUAAAGAGAUUGGAUCACAGGCCUUCCUCUCAUUUAUGUAUUUCCUAUUUGCGUUUCUGAUUAAUGAGACACCAAAAUGAUUGCAGUAAGAAGUUCACUCUAAUGUAGAGCACAGAAAUAUUGUACAGUAGAUUGAUACAGGCCCUUGACAUGAAAGUUUAUUUUGUGUCAAUAUGCCUCUAAUAAAUGUGCUUCAUUUUCUGCCUCUAUAGGAAUUCAUACUGCUUGCAGGAAAAAGUGGCUCAGGGAAGUGGCCAACACACUGUACUUUCAAUAUCCCUCUGAGACGUCAUGAGCAUGGGGCAUGAGAUGACAUCUGUACAAAGGCUUAGGUUAUCUUUGAGAAUAUAAAAUGAACAUUAUCCACAAUUCAGUAGAUUCUUUAUGUGUAAUUUGCCACCUACACAUACAUUAUUAAAGCUCUUGAUGCACCCAAGCGCUCUUCUCUAAGUUGCAGCAGUAAUAUAAAAACCCACAAAGUUAUUAUUACACAAUUUUUCUUGCAAAGAUGAUAUUUUACCACUGUAAUCACUUCCCUCUAGGAGACUCCAGAAGAAAAUUUCAUCUCCAUUACUAAUGAUUUAUAGAGUCAACUUUGUGCACUCCUCUUGAGCUUUCCUGUGACCUGCUGAAGCACAAUUAAUGGAAGCCAUAAUAAGGAAAGUUGCCUUCCCUCUUCCUACUAAAGAGGAACCUUUUCAAAUAGGGGUACCUUUGGAAGUUUCAUACAAAGCAAAAUGCCAGUGUGUCCUUGCUGUGUUAGGGAAGGAAACAGGAAGGAGGAAAAAUCAAUUCAAGUAAGAGGAAAAUGGAGAAGAACAAGAACAUAUUAAAAUAAGAACAGUUACAAGGAACCUGACCAUGAUGGACUAGAGAGGUGGAGAGAGAAGCAUUAUAAUGAAAUAAUAACGCAUAUGCUACUCACUAAACUCAUUCUGGCUAGGGAUUAUUUUACACAGAGAAGCCUUUUGUCUUUGUUUUUUAAAAAC